rnacentral:snRNA from 1 species
GCUUGCUUCUUGCAGCAUCUGUGCAGAGAAUAUUAACAUGGUUCCUGUACAAGAAUGACACUCAAAUUCAUGAAGCAUUCCAUAAUUUU